rnacentral:misc_RNA from 1 species
ACAAAUCAAUUUGGUUGUGUGGAUGUUUGAUGUGUAUAGUAUUACGCUAUACGCAUCUAUUAUCAUACACACCUAACAUUUGUGCUCCAGGCAUUUCGUCUGGGUGCAAUUAUAUAUAUAUUCAUUAUUGUCAGUUGUUUUGUCUAUUUUAAAUUUAUAAUC